rnacentral:rRNA from 1 species
GAUGAACGCUGGCGGCGUGCCUAAUACAUGCAAGUCGAGCGAACAGACGAGGAGCUUGCUCCUCUGACGUUAGCGGCGGACGGGCGAGUAACACGUGGAUAACCUACCUAUAAGACUGGGAUAACUUCGGGAAACCGGAGCUAAUACCGGAUAAUAUAUUGAACCGCAUGGUUCAAUAGUGAAAGACGGUUUUGCUGUCACUUAUAGAUGGAUCCGCGCCGCAUUAGCUAGUUGGUAAGGUAACGGCUUACCUAGGCAACGAUGCGUAGCCGACCUGAGAGGGUGAUCGGCCACACUGGAACUGAGACACGGUCCAGACUCCUACGGGAGGCAGCAGUAGGGAAUCUUCCGCAAUGGGCGAAAGCCUGACGGAGCAACGCCGCGUGAGUGAUGAAGGUCUUCGGAUCGUAAAACUCUGUUAUUAGGGAAGAACAAAUGUGUAAGUAACUAUGCACGUCUUGACGGUACCUAAUCAGAAAGCCACGGCUAACUACGUG